AGUGUCAAGGAAUCUGGUGGCGCCA
rnacentral:siRNA from 1 species